UCCACCCGAGACUCAGUGAAAUUGAACUCGCUGUGAAGAUGCAGUGUACCCGCGGCAAGACGGAAAGACCCCGUGAACCUUUACUAUAGCUUGACACUGAACAUUGAGCCUUGAUGUGUAGGAUAGGUGGGAGGCUUUGAAGCGUGGACGCCAGUCUGCGUGGAGCCGACCUUGAAAUACCACCCUUUAAUGUUUGAUGUUCUAACGUGGAUCCGUAAUCCGGGUUGCGGACAGUGUCUGGUGGGUAGUUUGACUGGGGCGGUCUCCUCCUAAAGAGUAACGGAGGAGCACGAAGGUUGGCUAAUCCUGGUCGGACAUCAGGAGGUUAGUGCAAUGGCAUAAGCCAGCUUGACUGCGAGCGUGACGGCGCGAGCAGGUGCGAAAGCAGGUCAUAGUGAUCCGGUGGUUCUGAAUGGAAGGGCCAUCGCUCAACGGAUAAAAGGUACUCCGGGGAUAACAGGCUGAUACCGCCCAAGAGUUCAUAUCGACGGCGGUGUUUGGCACCUCGAUGUCGGCUCAUCACAUCCUGGGGCUGAAGUAGGUCCCAAGGGUAUGGCUGUUCGCCAUUUAAAGUGGUACGCGAGCUGGGUUUAGAACGUCGUGAGACAGUUCGGUCCCUAUCUGCCGUGGGCGCUGGAGAACUGAGGGGGGCUGCUCCUAGUACGAGAGGACCGGAGUGGACGCAUCACUGGUGUUCGGGUUGUCAUGCCAAUGGCACUGCCCGGUAGCUAAAUGCGGAAGAGAUAAGUGCUGAAAGCAUCUAAGCACGAAACUUGCCCCGA
rnacentral:rRNA from 1 species